CACGGGUACAUCGGGGGUAUGCUGUCUAUAUGUACACACACAGGUACAUCGGGGGUAUGCUGUCUAUAUGUACACACACAGGUACAUCGGGGGUAUGCUGUCUAUAUGUACACACACACACACACACACAGGUACAUCGGGGGUAUGCUGUCUAUAUGUACACACACACACACACACACACACACACACA